GACGAACGCUGGCGGCGUGCCUAAUACAUGCAAGUCGAACGAGAGCGACCGGUGCUUGCACUGGUCAAUCUAGUGGCGAACGGGUGAGUAACACGUGGGUAACCUGCCCAUCAGAGGGGGAUAACAUCCGGAAACGGAUGCUAAAACCGCAUAGGUCUUCGAGCCGCAUGGCUUGAAGAGGAAAAGAGGCGCAAGCUUCUGCUGAUGGAUGGACCCGCGGUGCAUUAGCUAGUUGGUGAGGUAACGGCUCACCAAGGCCGUGAUGCAUAGCCGACCUGAGAGGGUGAUCGGCCACAUUGGGACUGAGACACGGCCCAAACUCCUACGGGAGGCAGCAGUAGGGAAUCUUCCGCAAUGGACGCAAGUCUGACGGAGCAACGCCGCGUGAGUGAAGAAGGUUUUCGGAU
rnacentral:rRNA from 1 species